CUUGGGACACCUGAGGAAACAGGGGCACAGGGAAGUGAAGAUGCUUGUCUAAAGGAAUGUUAAAAUUAAUUGGAGUGUUGGUUUAUUUAUCUUUUCCCUUGGUGAACCAAAUGACUCAUCCUGAUUUAUAAAUCUUCUACCUAUCCACUCUCCAUUAAGAUCAGUGGAGCUUCUCCAAAUACAAGCAUCCUCCAGAGCCUUGGUCAGUUCUGUUGAUCACACUGUAAAUGUGCUACCUACUGAAAAAGUUACUCUCACUCUGAUGCUCAUCUGAAAUCGCACCCAGAUGCAUACAUACGGAGGUGCACACAGUCAUCCCUGUUCUUGGCAGAAGCCCAGACCUUGAAAGGAGCAGGUGAAGCAGAUCAACUUCCUGAGUCGCUAGGAAAGACGGCGGGGACGUGAACAGGCACCCUGAGCUCUUGCAAAUUCCCAUUCGGUUUCUGUCUGAUAGACAACAGGGAGAGUAAUGGGGCAGAGGUGAUGACUCCCUGAUGCUGCUUGAUGCUGUCACCAUUUUGUGGAGUUGGGUGUGUGUAUGUUUUUUUACCUACUGGGGCGGCAGUAGGGGGAGAACAGCUUGUGUUGGGUAAUCAUCUUUUUACUCAGCUGGGAGAGAAAAGGAGAGGCAUUAGGUAGCUGAGAAACAUUCACCCUCUUCCCAGACAAGACAUACUUACUCCUUCCUCCGUUCUUCAGAGGCAACAGACCCCUAGGUGGGACCUUUUAUCUUAGCUUUAGUUAAGACCUAUUACAGUCUUCUUUGGAAUCUGUCCCUGCGGCAGCAGCUGCCCCACAAAGAUGCCUUCCUGCUGAGCUGCCCAUUUCCUUGAGUGUCUGCUAAUUACGCAGCAGCAGUCACUUUAGACGGUCCCAGUCGGGCCUUCUGCCUUGAGUUCAGCUCAUCAUGUUUUCUUCUUCUCAAGUUCCCAGUGCAGAGGGCUCACGUCCCCCCAGGUCAGCAUUUGUACUCUGGUCCUGGCUUCCAACUGGAAUGCACUUGGAACAAAUGAGAACCCACCAAGGAAGUAGGGCCACAGGGUCACAACAGUAUACAAGCAGACCAGUUCUGUGUCUGCCUCAUCGGCUGAGGGUACAACGUCCCACCACAUUUGUCCUUGAAAGUUGGGCUAACAAAGCACCACACUUAAUAACUUCUAAAGGGAGAGCACAUGCUCACACAUGGCUCUCUCCCUCUUGCUGUCUUGACUCCAACUGAAAGAAAGCCGCACCCCUCAACCCUCAUGUUCUCAGCAGCCGUCUGAGAUCUGAGGGAAUUUAGGUCUCUAAAGAAAGACUGGAUCAUGAUGCUCCUAGAAGCCUAGAUGCACAAAGGGUUUGAUAGAACAUUUAGAAGACAGUGGGGUAGGAUGCGUGGUGGUAUCGCUAACCAAGGUCUUUAGACAAUGAGCAGAGGAGGUGAAGGCAGAAGAGAUGUUAGCUGUAACUCUUGCCUAGGUGUGCUCACAUGUAAGUUGUCUAGAAUCUUUGACAAGGGUCUAGGAUGUUCACGUGCCUUCCUGCAUUCAAGGUACUGAAAUCUGUCCAGUGUAUAUAGAUUUGAAGCCUAAUUCAGAGACUGCUCUCCAAAGAAGCUGAGAGAAUGGCUUCUUAAUAGGGUAGGUCCUUUCCAAAAAUGAAGAGACACAUGCCCUGUGACACAGACUGUAAUGGCGGGGAGGGCCACAGAAGGAGACGUAGCCACGUGGUUAGGUGCCUGCCAUAGUAAGACUGGGGGUAAAACCCCUUUCCCUCAGGACACCUGAUAGCAUCCUCCCCUGAAGAAGGGGCAUUUUCCAGGAUCUUAGGAUGCUUUGCACUGCAGCAACAGUUUUUAUCUUAUUAUCUCCAUAGGUGACCUUUAUUCCUUUGGAAUUUAAUUUGACUAAUUAACCUCUUUGCCCCCGCCCCCAUGUGCUCCUGCUUCUGAUUCCUUCUCCGCAUCAUUACCGGGGUUGACUUCCUAUGAAAGGUCAUGGCCUUAUUCUCCUGCAUUUAAGCUUCUGUAGGAUAAGAUGAAGCCUAGACAUGCUACCACCAAGGUACAUUUGCAGUCUCUGUCUGACCCCAUUUCUUGCUGAUCCUACAGUCUACUUAGUCUCCCGUCAUAUGGAGGCCCCUCCCUCCAUUCCCAGGAUGCACUGUGUGCUCUCUUGCCUCCACGUUUCUGCCCACACUUAUCCCUCUGCUUCAGUAUAUUAUCCUGCCUUCUGUCUCUGACAGAUUUUACUCAUGACUCAUAAUCCACCUCAAAAGUUUGGCAGAGGCCACCUUUUCCAGAGCCCUUGGUUUCUUAUCUGUAUUUGACUACUAAUGAUCGUAAUAGCUAAAAUGACACAGCAUUCUCCAUGUGCCAGCGACUAACAGAACAGUUAGCAUUGACUAACUCAUUUAUUCCUCUCAACAAUCUGAGGAGGUGGAUAUUCUUUGCAUUUUAUACACGAGGAGGCUGAGGUCCAGAGAGAUUAAACAACAUGCCUACGGUUCUUCGGUAGAUUUUUGAAGCAACGCACUGUUGCAUAUAUAUGCUUCCAGAAAUUAAAAUCUAGGUAGGCUCUUCUACUACAUGGAAAAGGACCGAAGAACAGGAACCAUGUUUGAUUGAAUUUUGUGUCCCCCAAACUAGCAUAGUGCCUAUCUCAAAAGAACCUUGGAAAAAAAAAAAAAAUAUGUAGUAAAUAAAAAUAUGGCCAAAAAAAAAAAAAUAUGUAGUAAAUAAAAAUAUGGCCAAAAAAAAAAAAAAUAUGUAGUAAAUAAAAAUAUGGCCAAAAAAAAAAAAAAAAAAGAACCUUGGAGAAAUUUAUUGAAUGAAUGUAUGGACUAUUAUAGUCUUGUUUCAAACUAUAAUCUUUUUGAAAACAUGUCAUUCAACUUAAGCCUAUAGGUUUUUAAGCAGAGAGAAUGAGUUGUGACCAAGUGGAAACAGCUGCACCUUCAGGCGCGGGGAGGCUGGUGCAGGGAGCAGCCCUGUACUCCUUCCCUACCUGCAUCCAUUCACAUGUUGCAGUGGUGCUCGAGUCUUGAUGGAUGGUCAGCUCUCAGGGAGCAUGUGAGGCCGAGACAGCACCCUGCUCCUUCACGAGGAGCCCAUGUCCCCCCCAAUCCCCACCCUGGGGCUGUGAUCAUACCUAUAGAGGAGAAGACUGAGCUCCAGGAGCCAUUUUGAGAUGAGUGCCUGUU